UUGCAAACUGAAGAUGGCGACCGGCGCACGGGUGAGUAACACGUAUCCAACCUACCGAUAACUCCGGAAUAGCCUUUCGAAAGAAAGAUUAAUACCCGAUGGCAUAGUUCUUCCGCAUGGUAGAACUAUUAAAGAAUUUCGGUCAUCGAUGGGGAUGCGUUCCAUUAGGUUGUUGGCGGGGUAACGGCCCACCUAGUCUUCGAUGGAUAGGGGUUCUGAGAGGAAGGUCCCCCACAUUGGAACUGAGACACGGUCCAAACUCCUACGGGAGGCAGCAUGG
rnacentral:rRNA from 1 species